rnacentral:rRNA from 1 species
CCUACGGGUGGCAGCAGUAGGGAAUUUUCGGCAAUGGGGGGAACCCUGACCGAGCAACGCCGCGUGAAGGAAGAAGGAAUUCGUUCUGUAAACUUCUGUUAUAAAGGAAGAAAGACGGAUGGAGGAAAUGACAUCCGAGUGACGGUACUUUAUGAGAAAGCCACGGCUAACUACGUGCCAGCAGCCGCGGUAAGACGUAGGUGGCACGCGUUAUCCGGAAUUAUUGGGCGUAAAGAGGGAGCAGGGGGCAGCAAAGGUCUGUGGUGAAAGACUGAAGCUUAACUUCAGUAAGAGAUAGACACCGAGCAGGUAGAGUGCAGGAGAGAGUCGUGGAAUUCCAUGUGUAGCGGUGAAAUGCGUAGAUAUAUGGAGGAACACCAGUGGCGAAGGAGACGAUCUGGCCUGAAACUGACGCUCAGUCCCGAAAGCGUGGGGAGAAAAUAGGAUUAGAUACCCGGUAGUC